rnacentral:rRNA from 1 species
CUCGUAGGUGGUUUGUCGCGUUGUUCGUGAAAACUCACAGCUCAACUGUGGGCGUGCGGGCGAUACGGGCAGACUGGAGUACUGCAGGGGAGACUGGAAUUCCUGGUGUAGCGGUGGAAUGCGCAGAUAUCAGGAGGAACACCGGUGGCGAAGGCGGGUCUCUGGGCAGUAACUGACGCUGAAGAGCGAAAGCGUGGGGAGCGAACA